AGAGUUUGAUCCUGGCUCAGGACGAACGCUGGCGGCGUGCUUAACACAUGCAAGUCGAACGAAGAGCGAUGGAAGCUUGCUUCUAUCAAUCUUAGUGGCGAACGGGUGAGUAACGCGUAAUCAACCUGCCCUUCAGAGGGGGACAACAGUUGGAAACGACUGCUAAUACCGCAUACGAUCCAAUCUCGGCAUCGAGACUGGAUGAAAGGUGGCCUCUAUUUAUAAGCUAUCACUGAAGGAGGGGAUUGCGUCUGAUUAGCUAGUUGGAGGGGUAACGGCCCACCAAGGCGAUGAUCAGUAGCCGGUCUGAGAGGAUGAACGGCCACAUUGGGACUGAGACACGGCCCAGACUCCUACGGGAGGCAGCAGUGGGGAAUCUUCCGCAAUGGACGAAAGUCUGACGGAGCAACGCCGCGUGAGUGAUGACGGCCUUCGGGUUGUAAAGCUCUGCUAAUCGGGACGAAUGGUUCUUGUGCAAAUAGUGCGAGGAUUUGACGGUACCGGAAUAGAAAGCCACGGCUAACUACGUGCCAGCAGCCGCGGUAAUACGUAGGUGGCAAGCGUUGUCCGGAAUUAUUGGGCGUAAAGCGCGC
rnacentral:rRNA from 1 species